rnacentral:rRNA from 1 species
GACGAACGCUGGCGGCAUGCUUAACACAUGCAAGUCGAACGGAAAGGCCCUGCUUUUGUGGGGUGCUCGAGUGGCGAACGGGUGAGUAACACGUGAGUAACCUGCCCUUGACUGUGGGAUAAUUUAAGGAAACUGGGGCUAAUGCCGGAUAGGAGCUCCUGAUGCAUGGUGGGGGUUGGAAAGUUUCGGCGGUUGGGGAUGGACUCGCGGCGGAUCAGCUUGUUGGUGGGGUAGUGGCUUACCAAGGCUUUGACGGGUAGCCGGCCUGAGAGGGUGACCGGCCACAUUGGGACUGAGAUACGUCCCAGACUCCUACGGGAGGCAGCAGUGGGGAAUAUUGCACAAUGGGCGGAAGCCUGAUGCAGCAACGCCGCGUGCGGGAUGACGGCCUUCGGGUUGUAAACCGCUUUCGCCUGUGACGAAGCGUGAGUGACGGUAAUGGGUAAAUAAGCACCGGCUAACUACGUG